rnacentral:lncRNA from 1 species
UUUUUUUUUUAAAUUCUGAAUUCUCUGGCCAUUGCUCCUAUAUGGCGCAAGGCCAGAAAGCUUUAAAAAAAAAAAAAAAAUUGCCCAUCGUGCGUCACGAUGGGCAUAUAUUGAUACCAAGCAGCCAAGCCACCAUAUUUGACCGAUUUUUUUGUCAUCUAAUAAUAUUCUGAUCAAUUGGCCCUGCGGCUUAUAAAGUCCGUCCUCUUUUCUGCUAAAUUUCUUACAUACAGUUGUGUUUCUGGUUAUCAGAAGUAAACCUGGUCUUAGUGCAGGAAAGAUUCAUACUAAUGUUAAGCAAUUUGUAGUUAUUGGCACUAGAUUGACUUUUUUUGCACAUUAUCUAACAAUUUAUCACCUUUAAUUUUGCUCACUUAACCUCCUAUAGGACAAAAUUACCCUUCUAUUAUUUUGAUUAUUCAUUUAUCUUUUUUCCUCUCUUUUAUUUCUUUUUCUCUUUCUUCUUUCUUCUCUCUUUCAUCCUUCCUAGUAGAAAACUCCAUCUCAACGAAAAUUUUUAUCUUGAAUUUAUAAUUGCAUUUUUUGGUGAAAGUUUAAAAGGCAUCAAAACUAAUUUUUAUUUUUUGUAUGAUGCCACAUGUCACAAAUUUCAAUUGAUGAUUAUUAAUCAGGUCACAAUUUCAUCUUAUGAUAUUUUCUUGAGAAUAAAAUGAGAAACUAAAAAGAAAAGAGGAAAAACCAAAAUUGAAAGAAUUUGAAAAAAAAUUGUAUUUUAGGAAAGUGGUUUGAAUAUUUUGUAAUCAUUUAAGGAGAAAAUAGAUCUCUGCAAUUUCUUUUUUUAAAUUUCAAUCAUUAAGAUGAAGAUUUUUUGUGAGAAAGUGAAAGAAUUAAAAAAAGAAAAAAGAGGCAAAGAAAAUAAAGGAGCACAAAAGGGGAAAGGAAAAAAAAUAAAAGAGAAAAAUAAGAGUUUAGAAUAGUAGAGGGAUAAUUUUGUUCAAUAGGGGAUAAAGUGAGACAAAAAAAUGGUUAGGAGGUAAAGUGAGAAAUAAGGUAUACUUUAGGGGGAUUAAUUGUGAUUAAUCCAAAUUUAAAUUAAAAAAAAAAUAUUUAUAAAUAUCAAAAUUUUGAUAUGAAAUACAUUGUUUGAUAUAUACUAUCAUAUUAUAGUGAAAGUAUGCGAAUUUUUUUUUUAAAAUUAAUAAAUAAUUGAAUAUUUAGAAUACAUUAAAUUUUAAAAUUAAUAUGAAUGAAUAUAUAGGAUUGUUGUUAUUUUUUAUAUUUAAAUUAUUUAUAUUUAUAUAAAUUUAUAAUAAAUGAGAAAAUAGACUAUGUUAAGGCACAAACCAAAUUUUAGUUUUUAUUUUGAAAAGUACAUUUCUUUUUGGUUCAGCUCGAGAAGUAUUAAAUGGUAGUAUCUUUUUGGCGCUUAAAUAUAUUACAGGUAAUGGGCCUUGGUCAAUGCUAAGGCUCUAAGUUGGGCCCAAAACAAAUCACCUGUAACGGGCCUUUUAGCAAGCUCAGAGUGCAUUAUAUUAGACGGCAGCGGCAGAAUUGUGCCAUCGCGAAGUCGGGGACAACUUGACACGAGUGGAGGCAUUUCAGCAGAGAUCUUGGCGUGUAACUUCUUCCCUCUUCGUCUCUUUAGUUUUGCCAGUCUGAAACCCACAUAUUACCUAUUAGUGUUUUCGAUAAUCGAUUUGAAUAGCUUUUUUUUUUUUGGUUGUUUUCCUGAUUGGUUUCUGUGCUUGAGGGUUCUAUCAACUUGAGUUUGAGUGUAAUGUCUAGUGUCUAGAAAUUUAGAAAAUCUAUCAAUCUAAGUCACUGAUGGUUCAAGGGAAUUGGGAAAAAGGUACAAACUAGAAAAACCUUUAUUUUUGGUUCGGUUUGUUGUUCCUUACCACUUGUUGAGCAGAUUGACUUGGCCAAAAGUCACAAAUUUGGUUAGGCUAAUUACUGAUCAUCGAUGAAAAGAUUAUUGGAUGAUAUCUUAGAAAAGCGUACUUGAUAUCCUUUUUCCUCUUACUUUUCUUGUUUGAUAUGCUUGUAGUUGUAAUUUUCAGUUAGAUGAUUAGAAUACCAAUUUGAUUUAAAGGAGGUCUGGGAAAUUCUAAGAUGGCACUGUCAUGUCUUGUAGAAAUUUUUUUUUUCAAACCUUCUUGGAUGAAAGGGUACACCAAUAUCUUAUCUUAUUUUUAAAGUGCAUUAGCAUGGUUUUGAACUGAAUUGUGAGUUACUUAUUGAUGUCUGUUUGACAUGUAUGGUAAUGUUACUUAUUGUUGCAUUUUGGGCUCAUGACAUUUCUGAAUCUCAUAUUAAAGCACGAACUAGUUAUCCAAAUUUAUGGAGUAGGGUUUUUGAAAAUUGGAUGGAAUUACAGGAUUUUCUUCUUGCAUUUUCUGCCUUUGCUUUUACUACUACAUCAACUUUAGUAGUUCUGUGGAACUAAUUUCGAUGUCCCGCGUGUUGUCAGCCUUGAGCAGUAAUUCCCACCGAGUACCUAGCAUUCUCAUACAGACUAAGAUCAAGCUAGUACAUUGAUGUUUUUCAUUACUGUAUAGCUUGAUCAAUGAGUGGCAACGCAAUAAACUCUAACCUGUCAAUUAGUUCCUGCUUAUAAAUUCCGUCCUAUUUUCUGCUAAAUUUCUUACAUACAGUUGUGUUUCUGGUUAUCAGAAGUAAACCUGCUCUCAGUGCUGAAGAUUCAUACUAAUGUUAAGCAAUUUGUAGUUAUUGGCAGUAGAUUGACUUUUGUUGCACAUUAUCUGACAAUUUAUCAUCGUUUCCAUCCUGUAUAUUGGAAACCAUCAUUCAUUCAUUCAUUUGAAAAUUUCUUCAUCCUGCAAUAGAGCAAUAAGUUUGAAAAUUUUUUCCUUUACCUGAAUUCAAUUUUCCAUUUUAUGUUGUCCAUGUUUUAUCUUUUUUGUGGGUAACAGAGUGAGUUGGAGCACAUGGCAACAAUUUAACUCUUUCUUUUUUCGUGAAUACUGCCUCCGAAGCCUAUGAUACCUGAUUUACUGGUCAUUUUAUGUUUAUGAAGAUUAGUCGUAUUUAUGCAACAUAAAGAAUGCCUGAUGAAAUGAAAAUCUCUUAGCCAAGUUCAUGCUGCU